CCUACGGGAGGCAGCAGUGGGGAAUUUUGGACAAUGGGCGCAAGCCUGAUCCAGCAAUGCCGCGUGAGUGAAGAAGGCCUUCGGGUUGUAAAGCUCUUUUGUCAGGGAAGAAACGGUGGAGGCUAAUAUCCUUUGCUAAUGACGGUACCUGAAGAAUAAGCACCGGCUAACUACGUGCCAGCAGCCGCGGUAAUACGUAGGGUGCAAGCGUUAAUCGGAAUUACUGGGCGUAAAGCGUGCGCAGGCGGUUUUGUAAGUUUGUCGUGAAAUCCCCGGGCUCAACCUGGGAAUGGCGAUGAAGACUGCAAGGCUAGAAUCUGGCAGAGGGGGGUAGAAUUCCACGUGUAGCAGUGAAAUGCGUAGAGAUGUGGAGGAACACCGAUGGCGAAGGCAGCCCCCUGGGUCAAGAUUGACGCUCAUGCACGAAAGCGUGGGGAGCAAACAGGAUUAGAUACCCUGGUAGUCCACGCCCUAAACGAUGUCUACUAGUUGUCGGGUUUUAAUUAACUUGGUAACGCAGCUAACGCGUGAAGUAGACCGCCUGGGGAGUACGGUCGCAAGAUUAAAACUUCAAAGGAAAUUGAACGGCNGAGAGNGCGACGACGACGACGAGGAGAGG
rnacentral:rRNA from 1 species